UGCCAAUGAUGAUAUUACAAAAUUGCACGUAUUAUCAGAUAUUUCCGUGACGAAUUAUCACUAAUGUCUGAGGUA
rnacentral:snoRNA from 8 species